CGACCACAUAGUUUCAUAGUGAAGCACGAGUAUGGAGCUAGUCGGAGUCAUAAGUAACCACAAGGCCAGUACUGCACUGAAGAUGUGGAUGAAUGUCAGUUAAUUCCCAACGCUUGCCAGAACGGCGGCACUUGCCACAACACCCACGGCGACUACAACUGUGUCUGUGUGAAUGGUUGGACCGGGGAGGACUGCAGCGAGAACAUCGACGACUGCGCCAGUGCGGCAUGCUCCCUGGGGGCCACUUGCCACGACCGGGUGGCCUCGUUCUACUGCGAAUGCCCACAUGGACGCACAGGCUUGCUGUGCCACCUGGAAGAUGCCUGCAUCAGCAACCCUUGCAACGAAGGGUCCAACUGCGACACCAACCCCGUCACUGGGAGGGCCAUUUGCACCUGCCCCACAGGGUACAUGGGGCCUGCCUGCAACAAGGACGUGGAUGAAUGCUUGCUGGGUAAGGGGGCAUCGGAGCCAGGAGUGUGAGACCCCUGGGAGCUGGCUGGGAUUGAAGAAAAGUCUGGGGAGG
rnacentral:lncRNA from 1 species